rnacentral:rRNA from 1 species
UACGGAGGGUGCAAGCAUUGAUCGGAAUUACUGGGCGUAAAGGGCGCGUAGGUGGCAAGAUAAGUCAGAUGUGAAAUUCCGGGGCUCAACCCCGGAGCUGCAUCCGAAACUGUCUAGCUAGAGUGUAGUUAGGGAGAACGGAAUUCCACGUGUAGCGGUGAAAUGCGUAGAUAUGUGGAAGAACACCGGUGGUGAAGACGGUUCUCUGGGCUAUAACUGACACUGAGGCGCGAAAGCAUGGGGAGCAAACAGG